AAACCGCCUAGAGGUAAACGGGUGGAUCCGCAAAGUCGGCCCGCGGAAUUCAGCUCGGAAGGCUUUGGGCGCCCGACGCCGGUCCUGGGGAUCUUCAUCGACCCCGCCGGCCCGGGGACCGCCCGCCGGCCGUGUGCACUUUCCGCGGGCAGAGCGCCACGACCGGUUCUCGCGCGGCAGUCAGAAGGCCGCGAGGAAGGUAGGUCGCCGCCUCGUGCGGGGACUGUUACAGCCUCGCGUGUCCCGACCCGCGCUGGGGACCGAGGAGCCGCCGCCGGCGCUCUUUGGCCGCCCGGCCCUCCUGGGAGGUUUGCUCGACUGGCAGAGACUGGGCAACCGUGUCUGCCGACCGCCUCCUCGGGACGGCCCGGUGCGAGCCCGCCGGCACAGGGUCAGUGGCGAAUCGGUCGGCCCUCCACCCGACCCGUCUUGAA
rnacentral:rRNA from 1 species